rnacentral:rRNA from 1 species
UACGUAGGUCCCGAGCGUUGUCCGGAUUUAUUGGGCGUAAAGCGAGCGCAGGUGGUUUAUUAAGUCUGGUGUAAAAGGCAGUGGCUCAACCAUUGUAUGCAUUGGAAACUGGUAGACUUGAGUGCAGGAGAGGAGAGUGAAAUUCCAUGUGUAGCGGUGAAAUGCGUAAAUAUAUGGAGGAACACCGGUGGCGAAAGCGGCUCUCUGGCCUGUAACUGACACUGAGGCUCGAAAGCGUGGGGAGCAAACAGG